rnacentral:rRNA from 2 species
AAUUUUUAAUAACGGAUCUCUUAGUUUUAGUAUUAAUAAAGAAUAUAGCGAAAUGUAAUAAGUAAUGUAAAUUGUAGAAUUUAGUAAAUUAUUAAAUUUUUAAACGUAUAUUGCAUUUACUAGUAUUCUAGCGAAUAUAUUUAUUUAAACAUUA